CAGGCAGCACGGCCAGCUCUGGAACCUUCCACGUGCACUUUUAGGCCAUCGUGAGGGAUGCGGCUAUGCUUCCCCAGACAGGAGGAGCCCUCGUGCACACUGGUCUUGGCGGAUUGGAAGUGGCAGAAAGUGCUCUGCGGCACACUAAGCCUCAGUUAGAAGUGCUUCGUCUGACUUUCGAGAAGCCUGCAGGAAAGCCUGGCGUGGAGGAAUGCAGGGGAGAUGGCUGGCAUCUGGACGUUCCUUCCACAUGAUGGCACACAUCUGGCUCUUUGGGGCCAGUGGAACAUUCCCCUUCCAGUUUCCCUCCAGAUGUUUGAGGAUAUGAAGAUACAGCCCAAGGGGUGAGCAAUUUAUCAAGCUUCACUGAUCAAUUACAAGCCGGCACGCAGCAGAGCCCUCGCUGGAUUUCUUAUGCUCAUUGUGUAUAAAUGCCCAGGCUGUUUCACGCAGACACACCCUGCACAACAGGCCUUCAGUCAAACAGACGGUGGACUUUUUCAUCCCCUCCUCCUUGUAUGCACACACCUCAGGGGCCCAGAACUAAGUGAGCGAUUGGUGCACAUGUGCAAGUGGACAUCCUGGAGCCCACAGAUUGGUGGGCGGUUAUUUGGCUUCUACAGAAUCCACAGCACACGGGAAGACUACCAUUCUGUGCAGCAGCAUUUAACUAUGGUGAGGCCUCCAGCACUUGCAUCCUCUGCUGAGCUGACCGCGGAGGGGCGGCCUCUCAGCCUGCUGUCCUGAGUCACGGCCUGGAGGGCGGAUGUUCUGGAGAGAUGCCUGGACCUGGAGUAGAAUUUGCUUGAAUGAAAAAUAAACCAUUGUCUUGUUAAGACA
rnacentral:lncRNA from 1 species